UGACCCGUCUUGAAACACGGACCAAGGAGUUUAUCGUGUGCGCAAGUCAUUGGGUGUUGAAAACUCAAAGGCGCAAUGAAAGUAAAGAAUCCGCAAGGAUACGACGUGUGAUCUGAGCAAUCACGAUUGCCUGGAGCAACAUGGCCCCAUUCUGGUCGCUUGCGACGGGGUGGAGGAAGAGCGUACGCGGUGAGACCCGAAAGAUGGUGAACUAUUCCUGAGCAGGAUGAAGCCAGAGGAAACUCUGGUGGAAGUCCGAAGCGAUUCUGACGUGCAAAUCGAUCGUCUGACUUGGGUAUAGGGGCGAAAGACUAAUCGAACCAUCUAGUAGCUGGUUCCUUCCGA
rnacentral:rRNA from 1 species